GAUGAACGCUAGCGGCAGGCUUAACACAUGCAAGUCGAGGGGCAGCGUGAGGGUUAGCAAUAACCCUUGACGGCGACCGGCGCAAGGGUGCGUAACGCGUGAGCAACUUGCCCUUAUCAGGGGGAUAACCGGUGGAAACGCCGACUAAUACCCCAUGGCAUCACAUCAAGGCAUCUUUANGUGAUUAAAGAAAUUCGGAUAAGGAUAGGCUCGCGUGACAUUAGCUAGACGGCGGGGUAACGGCCACCGUGGCUACGAUGUCUAGGGGUUCUGAGAGGAAGGUCCCCCACACUGGAACUGAGACACGGUCCAGACUCCUACGGGAGGCAGCAGUGAGGAAUAUUGGUCAAUGGGCGAAGCCUGACCAGCCAAGUCGCGUGAAGGAUGAAGGUUCUAUGGAUUGUAAACUUCUUUUGUCUGAGGUAAAAAAGCGGACGUGGUCCGUUCUUGCAAGUAUCAGACGAAUAAGCAUCGGCUAACUCCGUGCCAGC
rnacentral:rRNA from 1 species